UCUUUACCACUAGCGCCAUCUGGGAGGCCCAUAGAAACAUCCCUGAGACCUCCUAGUCUUUCAUUAGGAGAUUAGCGUUGAAUGAAGACUGAAUGUGUUGACGAGAGCUGCUUCUCAAGUCAAGAGAAAAGAACUUUACGCAGUCUACUUUAGAGUGUGAGAUGUAUCCACAGGGGUUUGAGAUGUGGAGGCACAUGGAUUCAUCUAACAGCCACUGGAGGCAUUGAGGAGAUGAGAGAUGAAAGUUGCAUCAGACAAGGCAAGGAAGAGACGCUGCUGCUCAGAUGAGCCUGAACUCCCAAAGUCAGUUUACGCACAGGAUGCCACUGCUGUUGACUAGACAAGGGACAGGCACAGGAAGGACUGACGAGAAGGCCUCUCUGGUCUGUCCAACAGGGGGACGGGUACCAUUGAUUCUUAGGGCUUCAGAAGGGCUCACCCGUGGGAUACAAGAUCGUGUGGUACUUGUGUAAGGGUGAGAGGUCCUCAGAGCUUGGAUGUGCCCACAUGAAAGUCAGCUUUAACGCCAGCUUAAGACAGGGUCUUCCCUGGUGGUCCAGGGGUUAAGAAUACGUCUUUCGAUGCCGAGGACACGGGUCUGUCCCCGGUCAGGGAACUAAGAUCCCGCACACUGCAGGCCAACUGAACCCGUGUGCUGCAGCUGACGAGCCUGCUCGCUCUAGAGCCGCGGGCCACGCGACAGACACCGGCGCGCUGCGAUGAAGACCGUGCAGCCAGAGAGCCGUCGCACCACAGGACUGUCCAGGACGUCUCUCCUGCUCCCCUUACUCUCCUCUUCUCGCUGCCGACCUUAGCCCUGGAGAGGUCAGAGGUCAGCUCACAAACUGGGGAGGGCAGUCUGGAGAAAGGGAAGCAGUGGUCCAUGCCCCCAUUCCCAGCUAUAGUGGUCCCAGCUGCAGCAAGCCCUGACUGGGAGAAAAGACUGGACUUUAAAUCAAGUUUGGAUUUUGCUUUUGCAUGGGACUGAUUCAGAGAAGGCGAUGGCACCCCACUCCAGUACUCCUGUCUGGAAAAUCCCAUGGAUGGAGGAGCCUGGUGUGUAAACGGCACUUAAAGCAGCCUGAGCCAAGAACCCCUGAGUAAAGCUCGAGUCCUCUGUGUUCAGCAACCCCGUCCCAAUACCUUCAGCAAACUCUUUCAGCCCUAGCUCCAAAAACAUCCGGGACCCAUCCGCGUCUCUUCAUUCCCGCCAUUCUGGUUGAAGCUGCUUUCACUUCUUGCCAAGACACCUGCAGUCGCCUGAGCCGGUCUCCCUCCCUGCCCCCUUUUGUCUGGGACGUGGUCUUACCCGCUUUGUUUAUUGCUCUCUACUGACAAAUCCAAACACCUCACUCAUGCUUACAAAGCCCUAUUGAUCUGCUCCCUGCAGUCCUCCAACCUCAUUUCCCAUCACUUGCUUGCUUUGAUCCGUAGCCUGCUUGCAGUUCCCUGGAUCACUGGCCUCCUUUCUGGAAUGAUCUCCUCUAGGUCUUUGUGUGACCACCCCUUCUUGUCUGAGACUCUCAGCUUAAACGUCAUCUUAUUUAGUGACAUCUAAGAGAACUUCCCCGACUGCCCCAUCAUCAAACCAGUCAAUCCAAAAGAAAAUCAAGCCUGAAUAUUCACUGAAAGGACUGACGAUGAAGCUGAAGCUCC